AAAGAAUUAGUUAAAGCUAUAAUUUUAGAUUGUCAGUCUAAGGUCACUAAUUAAUUAGUAUUCUUUA
rnacentral:tRNA from 2 species